rnacentral:lncRNA from 1 species
GAAAUAUCGACCAGUCAGGAAGCAUGGCUGUUGGAAAAACGUGGUGGUGUGUAGCCACGUUUCGCAGUCUGCCUUUGCCCAGUGGUGUAAAAACUCAGUGAAACGGAAUUUUUUCACCGUCAUAAGGGAAUGACAGAAAAGAGAACCCAAGAGAAAAAUCAGGAGGUGGCUGAGCAUGCAUCAGCUUUUUAGAUAUUUACACUCAUCACUUAACUCACCAAACCCACCCUUCAGGAGCCAGAUAGCUCUCAAGAGGAGACUCCACACUCCUGUUUUACCUGGGACGCAGCGUGAGUGGAAUGCCCUGACGGGGGCAAGGACUGGCGGAUACAGCGGGCAGGGCUGGUGAAUACAGCAGCCUCUCGUGGCCUCAGGCAGUGUGUGGUGACUGGACUGGAGAAAAAGGCAGCUGAAGAUAAGCUAGAGGAGAAAAGGAAAACAGAUUACAAAAAUAAAGGCAGUUUCUCCUUGGGGAUGAAAUCCUAU